AUUGAACGCUGGCGGCAUGCCUUACACAUGCAAGUCGAACGGUAACGGGCCUUCGGGUGCCGACGAGUGGCGAACGGGUGAGUAAUGCAUCGGAACGUACCUUUCAGUGGGGGAUAACGUAGCGAACGUUACGCUAAUACCGCAUAUUCUGUGAGCAGGAAAGCGGGGGAUCGCAAGACCUUGCGCUGAUUGAGCGGCCGAUGUCAGAUUAGCUAGUUGGUGAGGUAAAGGCUCACCAAGGCGAAGAUCUGUAGCGGGUCUGAGAGGAUGAUCCGCCACACUGGAACUGAGAAACGGUCCAGACUCCUACGGGGAUCAGCAGUGGGGAGUGUUGGCCAAUGGGGGCCACCCUGAUCCAGCCAUGCGGCGUGAGUGAAGAAGGCCUGCGGGUUGUAAAGCUCUUUCGGCCGGGACGAAAACGCAUGGGUUAAUAGCCUGUGCGGAUGACGGUACCGGCAUAAGAAGCACCGGCUAACUACGUGCCAGCCGCCGCGGUAAAAC
rnacentral:rRNA from 1 species